CAAUAGCGUAUAUUAAAGUUGUUGCAGUUAAAAAGCUCGUAGUUGAAUUUUUGGUUUGGUUGUAUUGUUCUGUCGAGAGAUGGAAACGAUGUGAUUGAAUCAAUUUUUUGUAGGGAAGAUUAUUGUCCUUUGAUGGAUGAUUAUGGGAACUACAGGAUUACUUUGAAAAAAUUAGAGUGUUUAAGGCGAGUUGAGCUUGAAUAUUUCAGCAUGGAAUAAUAGAAUAGGUCUUUGACUUUAUUUUGUUGGUUUCUAGAGUUGAGGAAAUGAUUAAUAGGGAUAGUUUGGGGCAUUAGUAUUUCAUUGUCAGAGGUGAAAUUCUUGGAUUUAUGAAAGACUAACAUUUGCGAAAGCAUUUGCCAGGGAUGUUUUCAUUAA
rnacentral:rRNA from 1 species